rnacentral:SRP_RNA from 1 species
GCUGGGCGUAAUGGCCUGCGCCUGUAAUCCCAGCUACUCAGGAGGCUGAGGCAGGAGAAUUGCUUGAAUCCGGGAGCUGGAGGUUGCAGUGAGCCUAGAUCGUGUCACUGCACUCCAGCCUGGGCGACAGAGUGAGACUCUGUCUCAA